rnacentral:tRNA from 1 species
GGGCACGUAGUUCAGCGGAUAGAAUAAUCGCCUCCUAAGCGAUAGGUCGCUGGUUCAAUUCCAGCCGUGCCCACCA